CGCAGCCUAAUGUUGUAUUAGACGUAAUCGAAAAUCAAAAGUAGCCUUCAUAUACGGAGAUGGGUAGCUAUGAUGCAAUGAUUAUGCAGAAGCUUGCUGCCAUGCAGCAGUUGGAACGUGAGCUUGAGGCCAUCUCUACCAUUGAUUACCCGGAAAUUAUGUUAUUCCUAGUGAAGAAGUUCUUGUAGGAACAUUUGGAGGAUCUAGCAGGUAAAGAUGCCCAAGAGAAAUCUGAUGUUGCUAUAGAAACCCUUUUACAAGAGCUUCCAGAUGAAAGAAAUGUCAAUAAAAGACCGGAUGAUUCAAAACAGAUACAGGAAAAGUCAAAGAAAAAGAAAAAGA